ACAUACAAGUCCAGCGGACAGAUGGGAGCUUGGUCCCUGAUGUUAGGGGCGGACGGGUGAGUAACACGUGGGUAACCUGCCUGUAAGACUGGGAUAACUCCGGGAAACCGGGGCUAAUACCGGAUGGUUGUUUGAACCGCAUGGUUCAGACAUAAAAGGUGGCUUCUGCUACCACUUACAGAUGGACCCGCGGCGCAUUAGCUAGUUGGUGAGGUAAAGGCUCACCAAGGCGACGAUGCGUAGCCGACCUGAGAGGGUGAUCGGCCACACUGGGACUGAGACACGGCCCAGACUCCUACGGGAGGCAGCAGUAGGGAAUCUUCCGCAAUGGACGAAAGUCUGACGGAGCAACGCCGCGUGAGUGAUGAAGGUUUUCGGAUCGUAAAGCUCUGUUGUUAGGGAAGAACAAGUGCCGUUCAAAUAGGGCGGCACCUUGACGGUACCUAACCAGAAAGCCACGGCUAACUA
rnacentral:rRNA from 1 species